GUAUUCCUCGUGUACUCCCCCUCUUCCUUCUUUUUUUCAGCUGCUUCCCUUUCCCUUGAAGAGAAAAAUGAGAAGAAACUUUUCAACCAAAAUGAACAAACACCUCAGCACGUAAUGCCUAGGAUUGCUGUCAACAGAAAAGGGGCUGGAAUCAUCCAUAUUCUAAGAGGCCCUAUUCUUUGAAAAUAGAAAAAUGCAUUACGUUGCAUCCUUUUGCCUGGAAGACUCUUAUUGCAGUAGAAGAAAACCAGCAUUUAUGGAACCACAAGCAAGACUUGUUCAAGUCGAAACUCAGUGAAGACAAGAGUGACUUUUCCUAGCUCUGCUGCAAGGUUCACUGCCAGAUUCCCUAACUGGUCAUAUUUAGCAAAAGAAAUAUAAGAGGAUAGUUUAUGGUAGUAGCUAAUGUGAAAUCAGAAAUCAUCUGAUGCUAAAGACUAGUCUCCUAAUGAUGUUGAAAAAAAGGAAAGCAUAUGAGCUAAUAUUUUAAAAAUUCUCAAUUGUGGGAAAUACAGUUGUAAAAUAAACCAAAUCAUUCAGAA